rnacentral:rRNA from 1 species
GCACCACAAGAACGCGUGGAGCAUGUGGCUUAAUUUGACUCAACGCGGGAAAUCUUACCGGGUCCGGACACACUGAGGAUUGACAGGCAAUAUCUCGACUGUUUAAUAAUAACAGCCGUUUAUUAAUAAACGGUUUAUUAAACAGAUCGAGUGUUAAAUAUGCUAGUCCUUUCAUGAUUAUGUGAUAGGUGGUGCAUGGCCGUUCUUAGUUCGUGGAGUGAUCUGUCUGCUUAAUUGCGUUUCACUAAGGGCCCAUAAAUUCAAGGUAUGUUAGCAAUCGUCGCUCUAUGGACCCCCUAUUUCAGUUUAUUAAUAAACUGUUAUAAGCGCGCGUCUUGUUUAAAGAGUUUAAGACACUGCGCAUGCUGUUGGGCUCUGAAAGCAACGAACGUGACCGCAACGUCUUGUUGCCUUAAUCAAGUCGGCUGUUUAAUCUGUUUAAUUAAACAGACAGACAGCAGUCAUUAUAUGGCUUAUCCGAGGCUAUUUAAAACUAGACGAACCGCUGUUUCUUUUCUUAAACCAGAGGAAGGUUGCGGCAAUAACAGGUCUGUGAUG